AAAGAAAAGAAAAACCAAAGGACCAGAAAAAGAGACAGCCUAGCAAGAUAGGAGUCCAUUUGGGGAACUUGGACUUCAAACCCAAACAGCACUUAUGAGGCACCCCUCCUGCUCCUUGCCGAGGUACUACCAGAGGAAGCCUGCUGGAGACUCAGGAUUAACACCACUCAGUGGUAUAUCGGAGAAGCAAAAUCCAUGUUCAGAUGGUGAUUACAGUGACUUAAACAUGCUGGAUUUUUCUUGUAGUUUCACUUCUCA